rnacentral:ribozyme from 1 species
UGCCCAUUAACUCCUAUCCCUACCUCUUCGCGGUAGUGGCUGGGGUACGAGUAACCUUAGGGAAGACCUGGUAACCAACCUCGGAGCGAACUUUGGUCGUAUGCUGACAGGGAAGG